rnacentral:rRNA from 1 species
GAUGAACGCUGGCGGCGUGCCUAAUACAUGCAAGUCGAGCGAACAGACGAGGAUCUUGCUCCUCUGACGUUAGCGGCGGACGGGUGAGUAACACGUGGAUAACCUACCUAUAAGACUGGGAUAACUUCGGGAAACCGGAGCUAAUACCGGAUAAUAUAUUGAACCGCAUGGUUCAAUAGUGAAAGACGGUUUUGCUGUCACUUAUAGAUGGAUCCGCGCCGCAUUAGCUAGUUGGUAAGGUAACGGCUUCCCAAGGCAACGAUGCGUAGCCGACCUGAGAGGGUGAGCGGCCACACUGGAACUGAGACACGGUCCAGACCCCUACGGGAGGCAGCAGUAGGGAAUCUUCCGCAAUGGGCGAAAGCCUGACGGAGCAACGCCGCGUGAGUGAUGAAGGUCUUCGGAUCGUAAAACUCUGUUAUUAGGGAAGAACAAAUGUGUAAGUAACUAUGCACGUCUUGACGGUACCUAAUCAGAAAGCCACGGCUAACUACGUG